UUGACAAAGUUUAACUUACAGGUCACAUCGCUCCCGGCCUCGUGUCAUCGUAUUUUUGUUGGGGUCCGUUGCCCCCGAUGGCUUCUUGCUAUUUACGGUAUUGCAGACAAAAAUAUACUACUCUGCAUUCUGAUAAUCAGCAUGAAUACCUCGUUUUAUGGAAGGGCUUCUCUCCCUACAAUGCAACAUGGGAACCUGUCGAAAACAUGACGUCCGAGUGUGUCCGCUUGUUCUACUCCCCACCUAUGCCUGAUGGAGGUGUCCUUCAUUCCAAUGUCGCAGUCUUUCGAGCUGAGGUUGAAGUGCUUUUGAAAUCUAGGUCAAGGUUACCAGUAACCUUUUAUUUCAGGGGAGAUGUUUUUAGAUAUUUAUUUAAUUUUAAUGACUCCAAUUGGCAUUAUCUCGAAAGAGAUCAGUUCCCUGCCACAUAUUUUCCAAAGGGCUGGGAUCAGCUGGCUGACAUGCAUGGACAGGGGAUCAAAGUAUUUUAUCCCAUGAAGGUUAGAAGCUUUGUUAGCUUUACAA